CCUCACGGCAUCAGCCUCUGCUUCCCUGCCGCCGCACCCGCCCCCUCCGCCUCGCUGCUGCUUCCCGAAUUGCAUCUGGACGCUCGCUUGCAGCCGCCGCCACCACCAUAGCCACUCACUGCAACUUCUUGUACUGCCUCGGGCCUGCCGGCUCCGUGUCCUCAUCCUCCUCCGCCAGCUGAUGCCGCCGCUCCUGCCCGGAAGGUCAAUCUCGAGGCCUAUGCCGGAUAUGACCAGCUCCUCCGCGCGCUCCAGGACAUUUUCUUCUCCCAGUUCACCGUCCCGAAGUUUCCACGUACGUGCUAAGCUAUUGGACGCAGUGAACGGGACAAAGUACGAGGACAAGGACGGUGACUGGAUGCCUGUCGUCGACGUCCCUGGAAGUCAAGUUCUUUGUGAAGAUCAGUCAACCAAUACUGCUGCCCAACAACUCAUUCUUGAUGAAAAGUUAAUUAUAUUUUUUGUUCCUUGCAUAGGUUGCUGUAGUAGUAAUGAGUUCCUGAACAAUAUUGGUCAAUGUAUCAGGUACAAAUCUAUCAUUUAAAGGUUAAGAUCCUAGUCAAGGUCCUGCAGUCUUGUGAAGUUCUGGUCAUCAUGUGCCUUAUCUCUAGCUCUGAGAAAACAUUGGACGCUACAUUGGUCAGUAGCAGACAAGGAGGACUAGUUGAUCUACAAGGACUGCAAGCUUCAUACUCAUUUUAGUGUUUCACUGUUUCAGCUACGUAGCUUCAGCAAAUCAACAUUGUAAUUUGGUCUAUGUUUGUAACUGAAUUUGUUACAAUAUUUAUUAUUUUAUAUUUUCUAUGAUGACAGUAAAGAGCAACAGAAUAUUUAUCAAGCUUGGCUUGAUCC